GGUUAAUUCGAUGCAACGCGAGAACCUUACCUACCCUUGACAUGUCCGGAACUUGCCAGAGAUGGCUUGGUGCCCGAAAGGGAAUCGGAACACAGGUGCUGCAUGGCUGUCGUCAGCUCGUGUCGUGAGAUGUUGGGUUAAGUCCCGCAACGAGCGCAACCCUUAUCAUUAGUUGCUACGCAAGGGCACUCUAAUGAGACUGCCGGUGACAAACCGGAGGAAGUGGGGAUGACGUCAAGUCCUCAUGGCCCUUAUGGGUAGGGCUUCACACGUCAUACAAUGGUCGGUACAGAGGGUUGCCAAGCCGCGAGGCGGAGCCAAUCCCACAAAGCCGAUCGUAGUCCGGAUUGUUCUCUGCAACUCGAGAGCAUGAAGUCGGAAUCGCUAGUAAUCGCAGGUCAGCAUACUGCGGUGAAUACGUUCCCGGGCCUU
rnacentral:rRNA from 1 species